GGUGGCUAAACCCUGCACAUAGCAAGCCAUCUUUCAACUGUGGAGAUAUUUAUACAGCAGGGAAGUUUCUUCCCCUCCUACCAGGAGAAUGGCUGUACUCACCAGCUGAUACUCGCUCCGACGGCUGAAGGCUUCCUUGAUUCCUGAGUCCCUCCACAGGGCACACAGUGCAGGUACGUACAGCUGGAAUGUGGCAGGCUCGAUGGGCAUUCCAGCUUUGUUUUCAAAAGCCAUCAAAAACAUUCCGUGUUUCUCAUUCUCCGUGUACUGCCAAGGGAUUCCCAGUUUGUCCCGUGCGUCAACCAGAACCCUGCAGCCCUUGAGGAUGUUCUCGUAGAUGGUGGCCCGGAACUCCAACAGCGCCUUCUGGUCGAACUCUCGACCGUGGAUGAUCCGCAUCUGCUUAAGGAAAGUGGACUUGCCGCUCUCCCCGGCGCCCAGCAGCAGGAUUUUGACCAGGCGCCUCACGGCCCUCCGCUCCCGGGCCAGCAUCGCGUCGAUCUCCCGGCUCCGCCGCCUCGCCUCCCGCUCCGCAUCGCGGCUCCGCUUCUUGCCCUCCCGCCUCGGCUGCUCUCGGCCCGUGGCCUCGGCCGGCAGCAGGCAGCGGCUGAGGGUGCGCACCACGCCGGACAUGGCGGCCGCGCGACGGGAGCGCUCACGACGCCGCCGAGACCCCGGGCGGCUCCGCCAGCAUCGGGCGGAGGCCGCCGAGACGCUGGGACCCGGCAGGAGGAGGAGCAGCCGGGGGCUAAGGGCCGGGACCGCCCAUUCCCCUUAGCUCGGCGGCGGCGGAGGGAGGCGGCGGGGUGCGGCCGGCCGGGGGGAGGGGUGGCGGCGGGGCGCGGCCCGCAGGCCCUGCCCGGGGAGGAGGCUCCGCCGCCCGGCUCCGGGCUGAGGGAAGAGUCGCGGGGCCGGGGAGCGGAGGGAGGAUGCCCCCGAGCGCCCGGGCCCGGGUUCAGUCGGCGACGACCGCCUCCGGUCCCGCUGAGGCGCGACGGGGCGGGGGCGCGACGGAGCCCCCGGCCCCCUCAGUCACGGAGCGCCGCCGCCACCGCCUUGCGGAAGGAGGUGCCAGCUCGGCCCCACCCCCCCGCUGGCUCUGCGUUUGAUUGGGUGGCAGUAGUGUCGCUCAAAACUCCGCGCAUUCCAUUGGACAAGUCGCCAUGAAGGGCGGG
rnacentral:lncRNA from 1 species